GGCCGAAAGGCGUAGGUGAUGGACAACAGGUUGAUAUUCCUGUACUACCGAUAACCGUUUGAGAGAAGGGAUGACACAGUAGGAUAAGCUAAGCACACUGUUGGUUAUGUGUGCCCAAGCAUUGAGGCAGUCAAAGUAGGCAAAUCCGCUUUGAUAAUGCUGGGAUGUGAUGGGGAGCGAAAUUUAGUAGCGAAGUAGCUGAUUUCACACUGUCAAGAAAAGUCUCUAUCGAGGUUAAAGGUACCCGUACCGCAAACCGACACA
rnacentral:rRNA from 1 species